GCGGGCGUACGGACGCCGGUGGGACUCCGCGCUGUACGGCGCGUUAACAACACGCUCGUAACACGGAGGAUGUCUCAUACGGUAAAGCGAAUGAUUAGAGGACAUUGGGGCCGAAACGACCUCAACCUAUUCUCAAACUAUAAAUGAGUGAGAUCGCCGGCUUUACCUGGUACACCGCGUGAACCGCGUGCGAAGCCGGCGACGGAACCCUAGGCGCUUAGUGGGCCAUUUUUGGUAAGCAGAACUGGCGCUGCGGGAUGAACCGAACGCCGAGUCAAGGCGCCGAAAUCGACGCGUAUUCAGAGACCAUGAAAGGCGUUGGUUGCUGAUGACAGCAGGACGGUGGCCAUGGAAGUCGGAAUCUGCUAAGGAGUGUGUAACAACUCACCUGCCGAAGCAACUAGCUCUGAAAAUGGAUGGCGCUGGAGCGUCGUGCCUAUACUCGGCCGUCGACGGCAUAGUGGGGCCAGUCGUCGCUCGCGGCGGCCGGUCCCGGCAAGCCUCGACGAGUAGGAUGGCGCGGCGGUGUGCGUCGAAGGGCAGGUCGCGAGACCGCCUGGAGCCGCCGUCGGUGCAGAUCUUGGUGGUAGUAGCAAAUACUCGAGAGGGGCCCUCGGGGGCUGCCGUGGAGAAGGGUUUCUUGUGAACAGCCGUUGUCCAAGAGUCAGUCGAUCCUAAGCCCGGGGAGAGAUCCUCGUACCACGGGCGAAGGCGUUUUCGAAUCGCCCUUGGGGCGAGAGGGAAUCCGGUUCGUAUUCCGGAACCCGACGCGGAACCGCUCCCUAGUGUUCGGGGCUCUUUUGUCUCGUCUGGGUAACCAGAAUGAACUCGAAGAAGCCGCCGGGGGAUCUGGGUAGAGUUCUCUUUUCUCUGUGAGCGUUGUACGUCCCUGGAAUCCUCUAGCCGGGCGAUAGGGACGCGAGCGCGAAGAGCACCGCUCGUUGCGGCGGUGUCCGUGAUCCCCACGCGGACCUUGAAAAUUCGAGAGAGGGCCACGCGGAGUCUUCGCGUCGGUUCGUACCGAUAUCCGCAGCAGGUCUCCGAGGUGAGCAGCCUCUAGCCGCAUAGAAUAAUGUAGGUAAGGGAAGUCGGCAAAACCGAUCCGUAACUUCGGGAUAAGGAUUGGCUCUGAGGAGCGUGGCUGCCGGGUUCGGGUCGUCGUAGAAGCGUAGGCGUUUUUGGCGACACCCCGGCCGUCGCCCGUGCGCCCGGUCUUCGGAACGGGAGCCUCGAGGCGGCCGCGGGCCCGUCGCCGUCCGCCGACCGUGGAACCACCGAGCUUCGGUCGCUGGCCGCGUCGCGGCCGGCCGACCGCCUUGGUGUCGGUUCGCCGUCACCGGGCGGUCCGGCUGCCGCGCCGUCGGUCGCGUAGCCGGAUCGACAGCCAUGUAACGGUCAACUCAGAACUGGCACGGACCAGGGGAAUCCGACUGUCUAAUUAAAACAAAGCAUCGCGAUGGCCCGGGACGGGUGUUGACGCGAUGUGAUUUCUGCCCAGUGCUCUGAAUGUCAACGUGAAGAAAUUCAAGCAAGCGCGGGUAAACGGCAGGGAGUAACUAUGACUCUUUUACUAUGACGCAUUACAGGUGGUCUGCGUGAUAAGAAGUACGAAGUCGAGUGCGAAUACCUCUAUAAGCUGCAUGGCGGAAUAUGAGCCAGACAUCGUCGCGACGAUAAGUGACGAGACAGAGACGUAUUUCCGUUAUAUGCGAUGUACAGAUAGUUUCUGGCUCCGGACCGAAAACUUGGCACUCUAAUAAGGU
rnacentral:ncRNA from 1 species